AGUUUCCUUUGCUAUACAAAAGUUUGUAAGUUUGAUUAGGUCCCAUUUGUUUAUUUUUGUUUUUAUUUCUAUUUCCUUGGAAGACUGAUGUAAGAAAACAUUUGUAUGGUUGAUGUCAGAGAAUGUGUUGCAUAUGUUCUCUUCUGGGAGUUUUAUGGUGUCUUGUCUUAUGUUUAAGUCUUUAAGCCAUUUUGAGUUUAUUUUUGCACAUGGUGUGAGGGUGUGUUCUAGCUUUAUUUAUUUAUAUGCAGCUGCAUAAUACAUAUACACAAGGAAAUAUUACUCAGCCAUAAAAAAGAAUGAAAUAAUGCCAGUUGCCGCAACAUGGAUGCAAUUAGAGAUUCUCAUACUAAGUAAGUCAGAAAGAGAAAGAAAAAUACCAUAUGAUAUUAUUUAUAUGUGGAAUCUAAAAUAUGGUACAAAUGAACCUAUCUACAAAACAGAAGCACACUCACAGACAUGGAGAACAUACUUGUGGUUGUCAAGGGUAGUAGCAGAGUAGGAGGGACGAGAGUUUGGGGUUAGUAGGUACAAACUGUUACAUUUAGAAUGGAUAAGCAAUGAGGUCCUACGUACAGCACAGGGAACUAUAUCCAAUCUCCUGGAAUAGAACAUUAUGGAAGAUAAUAUAAGAAAAAGAAUGUGUGUGUAUGUAUGUGAGUGUGAGUAUAUAUAUAUAUACAUGUAUAUAAAAAUAUAUAUGACUGGGUCACUUUGCUGUACAGCAGAAAUUUUUGUAACAUUGUAAGUCAACUAUAAAUGAAAUUUUUUUUAAUUAAAUAAAAAAUAAAAUAAAAUACAGCAACAACAGCAAAAAAGAAUAUGACCACAGCAGCUCAGGUUGCUGUGGAGGAAUAGGUUAGGUCCCUGGCCCAGUGUAGUGGAUUAAAGGAUCCAGCAUUACCAUAGCUGUGACAUAAGUCAGCAGUUGUGGCUCAGAUUCAGUCCCUGGCUAGGAACUUCCAUAUGCUGUGGGUGUGGCUGUAAAAUUUAAACUAAAAAAAAAAAAAAAAAAGUAUAGGAUUAACAGGUACAAAGUACUAUACAUAAAACAGAUAAGCAACAAGGAUUUACUGCAUAGCUGCAUAGCACAGAUAAUUAUAACUAAUGUCUUAUAAUAACCUGUAAUAAGAUAUAAUCUAAAAAAAAAAACAGAAUCACUUUGCUAUAUACCUGAAACUAACACUGUAUUAUAAAUAAACUACAAUUUUUUUUUGUCUUUUUGCUAUAUCUUGGGUAAACUACAAUUUUUAACACACACACAAAAAAACAAAAUUAAAACCAUUCUCAUAGGGUAUACAAAAAUAAGCCAUGAGCUAGAACUGACAUGUCUGUUGACCUCUGAAUUAGAAUAAUUCAGUAAGGAGUUCCCGUCGUGGCGCAGUGGUUAACGAAUCCGACUAGGAACCAUGAGGUUGCGUGUUCGGUCCCUGCCCUUGCUCAGUGGGUUAACGAUCUGGCGUUGCUGUGAGCUGUGGUGUAGGUUGCAGACGCGGCUCAGAUCCAGCGUUGCUGUGGCUCUGGCGUAGGAUGGUGGCCACAGCUCCGAUUCGACCCCUAGCCUGGGAACCUCCAUAUGCCGCAGGGCCCUAAAAUACAAACAAACAAAAAAAAAAAACAAAAAGUUUGCCACUGCAGCAGAAAGAAUAUGGAGAAUUGCAUGGGGAGAUUCUUGUGAACAAGGCCUUCUGGGUACAACUUCCAUCAGAACUCCUUCAUGUCAGCAUAUCUAACUGUAGAACAGGCUAGGAAAACUUGUUUUGCUGUGUGCUCAAGAGGAAAAGGAAACAGACUUGGGUAACAGUGAGCAAAUCUCCAUUACAAUGUCCAAUGAAUUUAAGUAGCCAGGCCCAAUUAUUCAAAGUGUGUGUGUAUAUAUAUAUAUAUAUAUGUAUAUAUAUAUACUUUGCCAGCAUAUUAUUUAACCUGUUGGUACCAUGUAUAAUAUGCCAGAUGAUGAGUUUCAAUAGCUCCUAUGAUAAUUACAAGCUAUUAUUCUUUCAUCUUUCUCUAUGUUCCCAACUACUACACACAAGAUUCACAUUCCUACAGGAAUGAUCAUGACACAUCCAGUCUUGGAGGCCCCACCCUCCCUUUCUCAAUUACCUGUCAUUCCAUGAAAGAAGCAUUGCAAAUACAACUUUGCUAACCUCAUACAUCUAGUUAAUGGCAAGAUUUCCAAGAGAAUUUCAGAUCUCCUUAUCACAGUGAUAUUUUCAUCCUAUCCUACUGCCUUGCCUCCCCAAACUGAGAUAGCCACUAACCAUCUGUCUUCUCUUUGAGGGGAAAAGUUUUGUCUUAUUAAUAUUCUUUUUAUUGCUAGUGCCUAGAACAUAGCUAUGUGCUCAAAAAAGAUUUUCUGUAUAAAUUUUGCACCUAGGAGUUCCCGUCGUGGCGCAGUGAUUAACGAAUCCGACUAGGAACCAUGAGGUUGUGGGUUCGGUCCCUGCCCUUGCUCAGUGGGUUGAUGAUCCAGCACUGCCGUGAGCUGUGGUGUAGGUUGCAGACGCGGCUCGAAUCCCGCGUUGCUGUGGCUCUGAUGUAGGCCAGUGGCUACAGCUCCGAUUCAACCCCUAGCCUGGGAACCUCCAUAUGCCGUGGGAGCGGCCCAAAGAAAUAGCAAAAAGACCAAAAAAAAAAAAAAAAAAAAAA
rnacentral:lncRNA from 1 species